CAGUUUUUUAUGUCAACUGGAGAUCAUUUGAGUGUCUAAUGCAUGUAAAUCCAUGUAAAGCCCUCAGCAAUAGAAGACACUGACUCUCAGGGAAGUUUCUUGAUUGGUUUGGGAAGCUGGGUCCUGCACUGGGAGACACAAGCCUCAUUUGGUUUGGGGGCUCUGGGUCAGAGCUGGGUAAAUAGGUACUAGCAGCUACCACUUAUUGGUGCUUUACCUACUCAGACCCACAUUUCCUCAUAACCACGCUGUAGGCUGGGUACUAUCUAUCUCCAUUUUGCGGAGGAGAAAAUGGAGGUGUUGAGAAAUAAAGUGACUUGCCCUGGGUCACAAAAUGAGCAAGUAGUAGAGCAGGGAUGGGAAGACAAGGGCUAUAAAACGGAGGAGGAAGUGCCAGCAGGCAGCCACGGUGUAGACUGUGCUGUUAGCCUGGAGCUGGCUGGGCCCCCCUCCCCAAGGUCUCAGCCUCCUGGGGGCCCCUAUGCCACCCCCCUCUGGGCCGGUGCAACCCUUCUUUACUAUUAGCCAAGCAUACCACCCUGAAAACAGUGGCUUGGAGCUGACUGUGGGAGGCGGCCAAGGGCUAGCUCAGCAGAAACGACAAACCUCCCACUUUAGCCCCUUGUGUGAAGCUAAAAUUAACAACUUUCCCAACUGCAAACAAAUGCAGUUGCUGAACCUGCAUUCCCUUCCCUUGCUUCUGCUGCCACUGGCUUCCUGGCACCAUCCCAACUCCACACCCUCCCUGGCCACGCCCAUAGGGCUGAGCUCCAUUGUGAGGGGGGGUGCUGCAGGGGAGGCUGAUACCUCUGCAGGAAUGUGGGCCAGGGUCCCAGAAGAGGCCCAGGACAUCCAGCAACUCCAGAUGUUCGACACCACGUUUUCUUGGAUUUCCCUGAGAUGGAAAAGUGGGUUUGGAUCAGAAGCAAAGAGAGAUCUGUUUGGGUGGUCCUACUCUUGGAGCUGAGCUCUCUUGGUGGUUAGGAGCCUACAGCCUGGGCAGACUCAUACAUCUUUAGAAGACAUCAUUCCUUACCCCAAGAAGAACCAGUGAGAGAAAGGGGCUAAAAUCCCACAAAUAUCCCUUUAUCUUCAGUUCUCUAUUCCCUUCCAACCCAGGGAUGAGGGGCUGGGCCCAGACACCUGCCUGGGGCUGAUCUUCUGGGGGUUGGGCAGGGAGGGGAGAGCUGGUGGGAGAGCAAAUGGGCAGGCAGAGGCCUCUGCCAUCACCCUCACACCCACCUGUGGGCUCCUCACUUAUUUCUCUCCUACCAGCUGUAACAACAGAGCUCCUGCUGACAUAAAAGUGCUGUGGUAGCUCUCCCCAUGCCCUGGCACAGGUAUGACCUCCACUGGGACUAUCCCAAGUGCUGAGAGGCGUUUUCAAACUUAUUCCACCAGGGAAGCUGAAAGGCGUCUCUUCUUCGAUGUCAACGCCCUGAGAGGUCUCAGGAAUUUGAAACGGACAGCCCCUGCCUCCAGCUUCCCUAAUGGAGGUAGAGCACUCAGCACUCCAUCUCUGCCAUCAUCUCACUCGGAUUCUGCAGCCAGAUUCCCCAUUGCUCCCUCUUUCCUGUCCUUCAGGUGGAGGCACUAAAGGUCCCAGGUGCAAAUCUACUUUCCCUGGGAUGGUUAACUGACUAACUCCUUAUUUCCUAGCUCCCCCUGACAUCAUGACAUGUGAAGGCUCCGAGGGCAGGAGGUGAAGAGGGUGUGAGUACUGGGAGUACAGGAGGCAAAAACAAGUGGAGAGCAUCUACUUGGUGGCUUACCAGCCAUGCGGAAGGCUGAAGUGACUUUUGGGCCUGACCCUCCUCUUCUUGCCUACUGCCAUAGCUCUAACUCCCUCUCGGCUGGAAUGCUGUAGUAUUUUACAAGCUGGUCUCAAUUCCUCCUUGUUUCACUCAAGCGGUUUCCUAUCACACUGCUAACCAUCCUGCAACACUCCGCAUUAAUCCUCCAACAGC
rnacentral:lncRNA from 12 species